UACAGAGGUGGCAAGCGUUGUUCGGAAUUACUGGGCGUAAAGGGCGCGUAGGCGGCCUUAUAAGUCUCGUGUGAAAGCCCUCGGCUUAACUGAGGAUCUGCACGGGAUACUGUAAGGCUCGAGUUCGGGAGAGGAAAGCGGAAUUCCGGGUGUAGCGGUGAAAUGCGUAGAUAUCCGGAGGAACACCAGUGGCGAAGGCGGCUUUCUGGACCGACACUGACGCUGAUGCGCGAAAGCUAGGGGAGCAAACGGG
rnacentral:rRNA from 1 species